GGACGUGAGGGCAAUCUGGUUGUGACAUCUGUCACCCCAUUGAUCACCAGGGUUGAUUUGGCUGAUCUGGCUGGCUAGGUGGGUGUCCCCUUCCUCCCUCACCGUUCCAUGCGCAUCCCUCCCAAGGCUGCACGCUCAGUGGAAGAGGACAGCCUUCCCCAAUAGAGAAGGACUGCUCUUUGGUCGAGGGUAUAUGAGUAGCUGGGCUCCCCUGCUAGAAUCUCCAAACAAGCUCUCAAGUGGGAAAGUUUACACAGAGAAAUUGACAAACAUUGUAAAUCUGGGCUUAUUUUAAUAUUCCUUGAUGGUCUAAACUUAAGG
rnacentral:snRNA from 1 species